rnacentral:rRNA from 1 species
GACGAACGCUGGCGGCGUGCCUAAUACAUGCAAGUCGAACGCAGUGGGGACGGGUGAGUAACACGUGGGUAACCUCCCAUCAGAGGGGAUAACACUUGGAAACCGGUGCUAAACCGAUACUGAUGGAUGGACCCGCGGUGCAUUAGCUAGUUGGGGAGGUAACGGCUCACCAAGGCCACGAUGCAUAGACGACCUGAGAGGAGGAUCAGCCACAAUGGGACUGAGACACGGCCCAGACUCCGACGGGAGGCAGCAGUAGGGAAUAUUGGGCAAUGGACGAAAGUCUGACCGAGCAACGCCGCGUGAGUGAAGAAGGUUUUCGGAUCGUAAAACUAUGUUGUUGGGGAAGCGGUAUCUAAACAGAAAGCCACGGCUAACUACGUGCCAGCAGCCGCGGUAAUUC